CAGCCGCCGCGGUAAUACGAAGGUCCCGAGCGUUGUUCGGAAUCACUGGGCGUAAAGGGAGCGUAGGCGGCGUGGUAAGUCAGAUGUGAAAUCCCGGGGCUCAACCCCGGAACUGCAUCCGAUACUGCCAUGCUAGAGGAUUGGAGAGGUAGCUGGAAUUCUUGGUGUAGCAGUGAAAUGCGUGGAGAUCAAGAGGAACACUCGUGGCGAAAGCGAGCUACUGGACAAUAACUGACGCUGAGGCUCGAAGGCCAGGGUAGCGAAAGGGAUUAGAUACCCGAGUAGUCCCUGUCUCUUAUAC
rnacentral:rRNA from 1 species